UACGUAGGUGGCAAGCGUUGUCCGGAUUUACUGGGCGUAAAGAGCGCGCAGGCGGUCGUUCAAGUCGCGUGUGAAAGCCCCCGGCUCAACUGGGGAGGGUCACGCGAUACUGAUCGACUCGAAGGCAGGAGAGGGUAGUGGAAUUCCCGGUGUAGUGGUGAAAUGCGUAGAUAUCGGGAGGAACGACCAGUGGCGAAGGCGACUACCUGGCCUGUUCUUGACGCUGAGGCGCGAAGCUAAGGGGAGCAAACGGGAUUAA
rnacentral:rRNA from 1 species